rnacentral:rRNA from 1 species
AACGAACGCUGGCGGCGUGCCUAACACAUGCAAGUCGAGCGCGAAAGGAGCAAUCCGAGUAGAGCGGCGCACGGGUGCGUAACACGUGGAUAAUCUGCCCUUGAAUUCGGGAUAACCUUCCGAAGGGUUGGCUAAUACCGGGUAAGCUCACGGUGACUUCGGUCGCUGUGGGAAAAGUAGACCUCUGUUUACAAGUUUACGUUUGAGGAUGGGUCCGCGGCCCAUCAGCGAGUUGGCGGGGUAAUGGCCUACCAAGGCUACGACGGGUAGCUGGUCUGAGAGGACGAUCAGCCACACUGGAACUGAGACACGGUCCAGACUCCUACGGGAGGCAGCAGUGGGGAAUUUUCCACAAUGGGCGAAAGCCUGAUGGAGCAACGCCGCGUGUGUGAUGAAGGUCUUCGGAUCGUAAAGCACCUUCGACCGGGACGAAAAACCUCUGGCUAACAUCCAGGGGCCUGACGGUACCGGGAGAAGAAGCACCGGCUAACUCUGUGCCAGCAGCCGCCGUAA